rfam:Schistosoma rodhaini strain Burundi genome assembly, scaffold: SROB_scaffold0000646
AUCAAGCUGACGAUUCCCACAUAGGAAGGAACGAGUGUCCUGGAU